rnacentral:rRNA from 1 species
AACGAACGCUGGCGGCAGGCCUAACACAUGCAAGUCGAGCGAAGCCUUCGGGCUUAGCGGCGGACGGGUGAGUAACGCGUGGGAACGUGCCCUUUGGUACGGAAUAGCCCCGGGAAACUGGGAGUAAUACCGUAUGUGGUCGAGAGACGAAAGAUUUAUCGCCAAAGGAUCGGCCCGCAUUGGACUAGGUAGUUCGUGGGGUAAUGGCCUACCAAGCCGACGAUCCAUAGCUGGUUUGAGAGGAUGAUCAGCCACACUGGGACUGAGACACGGCCCAGACUCCUACGGGAGGCAGCAGUGGGGAAUCUUAGACAAUGGGGGAAACCCUGAUCUAGCCAUGCCGCGUGAUCGAUGAAGGCCUUAGGGUUGUAAAGAUCUUUCAGUGGGGAAGAUAAUGACUGUACCCACAGAAGAAGCCCCGGCUAACUCCGUGCCAGCCGCCGCGGUAAUAC